UCUCCAGAUGCCUGGACUGUACUGCAGAAAUUUUGUUACUCACUCUUCACCACAGUACUCUUCCUGCAUUGCAAUCCAGGAGCAGUACACCAGACCCUACAACUGAUUUAAGUUACUCAUUGUUGAUCCAUCAAUUUCAUCAGGAGUUUGGAAGAUGCAAGAAGGGCCAUACAACAAUGUGAAAUAUAUCUGGCAUUUGUACAGUGUCUUUCUUCUGAGGGUCUCAAAGCACUUUGCAAAAAGAGGGUCUGGAUCUAGCACUCAUGAUCCAUGAUCUUCAAUGGGUGCUGAAUUAGGCCCUAAACCAAGUAACUCUGUAAUACAGGAAUUAUGUCCCUUUUACAGGAAAGGAACCAGGCACAAUUUUUCCAAGAGUAGCUGCGGCAGUCUGUACCCUAUUUUUCCCCCCCUCUUAUAAUGCGAUGAAAUUUUGUACAAAGUAUGCCUCGUGAGAGAUCGUUUGAAAACUCACAAUUUGCUGAUCAUUAUUGUUCUGGUAAAAUGUGUGUGGCAACAUUGUAUGCAAAAUUAUAAGAUUCUACUAUAUAAUACUUCUGAGACAUGUUCCAAGUCUGCAAGAAUAGCCACAAACUAGUUCCUCAGAAACAAAAGGUAAACCAACGUCUCAGCCAGGUGUCAACAAUAUUAAAUGGACAAUCAGCUGGUCAAGUGGCUAUUAUUUGGCAGGAAAAGGUGUGAGCAAGAAAUUUAUAUCUUGGCAAAAAACAGCUGGAGGUUCUGUAUCCACAGGUGGUAUCAACACACUGAACUGGAGGAGGUGUCCUGGUCGAAAGGAAUCCAGCCAGUAUGACUGCUGAAGCAUGUGGUGAGAGACCUCUUCUUUGAAUUCAUUUAGCUUAAGUUAGAUAUUAGUUACACUUUACCUUUUUCCUUGUAACCAGUUCUUACUUUUAUGCCUCAUUACUUGUAAUCGCUUAAAAUCUUUGUCAUUAAUAAAGUUGGUUUAUUGGA